rnacentral:rRNA from 1 species
CGUUGUGAAGCGCCUUUGUGGUGUGGAGGCGGGGUGUGUCCGAUUUUUGAGAACUCAACAGCGUGCACUAUGUUCAAUGCCAAUUUUAUAUCCUGGCUUGGUCUUCGGAUCGGGUUGGGUUUCCUUUGGAAAUUGAUGUCAGUUUCCGGCUUUCGGGUCGGAGGGAUGUCUUAUUUGCUAGAGGUCAAACUUGAUUCUCCUUCUCUUCGGGGUUGGGGGUCGUAUUUUUUUACGGAGAGUUUGAUCCUGGCUCAGGACGAACGCUGGCGGCGUGCUUAACACAUGCAAGUCGAACGAUGAAGCCUGGCUUGCUGGGUGGAUUAGUGGCGAACGGGUGAGUAACACGUGAGUAACCUGCCCUUGACUCUGGGAUAAGCGCUGGAAACGGCGUCUAAUACCGGAUACGACCUGCCCCGGCAUCGGGUGUGGGUGGAAAGUUUUUCGGUCAAGGAUGGACUCGCGGCCUAUCAGCUUGUUGGUGAGGUAAUGGCUUACCAAGGCGACGACGGGUAGCCGGCCUGAGAGGGUGACCGGCCACACUGGGACUGAGACACGGCCCAGACUCCUACGGGAGGCAGCAGUGGGGAAUAUUGCACAAUGGGCGAAAGCCUGAUGCAGCAACGCCGCGUGGGGGAUGACGGCCUUCGGGUUGUAAACCUCUUUUAGUAGGGAAGAAGGGCUUCGGCUUGACGGUACCUGCAGAAAAAGCACCGGCUAACUACGUGCCAGCAGCCGCGGUAAUACGUAGGGUGCAAGCGUUGUCCGGAAUUAUUGGGCGUAAAGAGCUCGUAGGCGGUUUGUCGCGUCUGCUGUGAAAACCCGAGGCUCAACCUCGGGCCUGCAGUGGGUACGGGCAGACUAGAGUGCGGUAGGGGAGAAUGGAAUUCCUGGUGUAGCGGUGGAAUGCGCAGAUAUCAGGAGGAACACCGAUGGCGAAGGCAGUUCUCUGGGCCGUUACUGACGCUGAGGAGCGAAAGCGUGGGGAGCGAACAGGAUUAGAUACCCUGGUAGUCCACGCCGUAAACGUUGGGAACUAGAUGUGGGGGCCUUUCCACGGUCUCCGUGUCGCAGCUAACGCAUUAAGUUCCCCGCCUGGGGAGUACGGCCGCAAGGCUAAAACUCAAAGGAAUUGACGGGGGCCCGCACAAGCGGCGGAGCAUGCGGAUUAAUUCGAUGCAACGCGAAGAACCUUACCAAGGCUUGACAUAUACCGGAAACUUCCAGAGAUGGUUGCCCCGCAAGGUCGGUAUACAGGUGGUGCAUGGUUGUCGUCAGCUCGUGUCGUGAGAUGUUGGGUUAAGUCCCGCAACGAGCGCAACCCUCGUUCUAUGUUGCCAGCACGUGAUGGUGGGAACUCAUAGGAGACUGCCGGGGUCAACUCGGAGGAAGGUGGGGAUGACGUCAAAUCAUCAUGCCCCUUAUGUCUUGGGCUUCACGCAUGCUACAAUGGCCGGUACAAAGGGCUGCGAUACCGUAAGGUGGAGCGAAUCCCAAAAAGCCGGUCUCAGUUCGGAUUGAGGUCUGCAACUCGACCUCAUGAAGUCGGAGUCGCUAGUAAUCGCAGAUCAGCAACGCUGCGGUGAAUACGUUCCCGGGCCUUGUACACACCGCCCGUCAAGUCAUGAAAGUCGGUAACACCCGAAGCCAGUGGCCUAACCGUAAGGAGGGAGCUGUCGAAGGUGGGAUCGGUGAUUAGGACUAAGUCGUAACAAGGUAGCCGUACCGGAAGGUGCGGCUGGAUCACCUCCUUUCU